CCUACGGGUGGCAGCAGUCGAGAAUCAUUCACAAUGGGUGAAACCCUGAUGGUGCGACGCCGCGUGGGGGAAUGAAGGUCUUCGGAUUGUAAACCCCUGUCAUGUGGGAGCAAAUUAAAAAGAUAGUACCACAAGAGGAAGAGACGGCUAACUCUGUGCCAGAAGCCGCGGUAAUACAGAGGUCUCAAGCGUUGUUCGUAAUCACUGGGCGUAAAGCGUGCGUAGCCUGGUUCGUAAGUAGCGUGUGAAAGGCGCGGGCGUAACCCGCGGACGGCACAUGAUACUGCGAGACUAGAGUAAUGGAGGGGGAAACGGAAUUCUCGGUGUAGCAGUGAAAUGCGUAGAUAUCGAGAGGAACACUCGUGGCGAAGGCGGGUUCCUGGACAUUAACUGACGCUGAGGCACGAAGGCCAGGGGAGCGAAAGGGAUUAGAUACCCGAGUAGUC
rnacentral:rRNA from 1 species